CUCUCACUGGCAUGAUGAAGCAGGGUAUCUACAAACGUAGUCCAUGGGUUUGGCUCGCCAGCUUGCCUCCCGAUGUUUGUGUCGUCCUGCACUCACCAUGGAAAGAUCUUCAAGUCCAACUUCAAACAGUUACAGCAGCCCUGUGCUAGCGGUCACUCCAGAGCAAACAUCAGCGGCACAGCGCAUCACGAGCAAAGACUCAAUAAACGGAGUCCAGACUCACUAAAAACCGCUGUGGUUCAGUUAGAUAAGCUCUACGUGGGUUACUGACCAGCCCUUCCCGGCCACUGAGACCUGGAUAUCAUGCAUUCCAUUUUGUUCCCACUGUCUCUCACCACCAUUUUUUGUAGGCAGACUUUUAAUAGUGCUCAUUAAAGGGUUACCAAAA